UUUGAUCCUGGCUCAGAGCGAACGCUGGCGGCAGGCUUAACACAUGCAAGUCGAGCGGGCGUAGCAAUACGUCAGCGGCAGACGGGUGAGUAACGCGUGGGAACAUACCUUUUGGUUCGGAACAACACAGGGAAACUUGUGCUAAUACCGGAUAAGCCCUUACGGGGAAAGAUUUAUCGCCGAAAGAUUGGCCCGCGUCUGAUUAGCUAGUUGGUGAGGUAACGGCUCACCAAGGCGACGAUCAGUAGCUGGUCUGAGAGGAUGAUCAGCCACAUUGGGACUGAGACACGGCCCAAACUCCUACGGGAGGCAGCAGUGGGGAAUAUUGGACAAUGGGCGAAAGCCUGAUCCAGCCAUGCCGCGUGAGUGAUGAAGGCCCUAGGGUUGUAAAGCUCUUUUGUGCGGGAAGAUAAUGACGGUACCGCAAGAAUAAGCCCC
rnacentral:rRNA from 1 species